CAUAUGCUGCAUGAAACUAAAAACACCAGCAAGCUGACAGAGUGCUCUGUGAAAUAAUACUGAAUUGUGAUCUAAACAUUGACUUCCUCCCUUUUGUGUGUCAAACUUCAGUUAAAUGUUAGGCUCUCCUCUCCAGAUACCAUCAGUGGUUCACACUGUCAACCUUUGGAGGCCUGCUAUUGUGAGGAAGCUAAAACUUAAUGUUCUAGGACAUGGAUCUGCUUUUUGAUAACUGGUAGCAGCUGGUUUUCUUUAAAAGCAGUGCUUCUAGCUUUUCAUCAAGAGAGACAAAGGCUUUUUUAUUUAUUUUUUUCCCUGUAGUGAAAGAUUGCCUUUUUCUAACAGGAGUGACAUCGUUUCUGUCUAUCAGAUCUGUAACUUGGGAUGUUGCAUGUAAAGCUCAACCAGUGCAUCAUCAGCUGUGUGUUCUCUGCCAAACAUGGUGAUGUUUGAAUGGUGCUGAUGUGGUUCCCUCUUUGGAUACGUAUCAGGGAAUUUUUUCUUUCAACUGUUUUGUGGCUGAAAAGAAAAAUACUAGUAGGUAUUUUGCAGGCCUUAAAAACCUGAGAAGAUUUCAAGUGGAAGAGUCUUCUACAGAUGGUUGAGAUCUUUUCGGAAAGGCUUCAGCCAGAGUAGCCAGAUGUCCACAGCAGUUCUCAUGGAAAUUUUGUGUCUCAUAGCUGGAGUGUGGCAAGGGAAGUGCAAAGCAUACCAGCAAAACGUGGCCAAGUUUUAACAGAAGAAAGAACUGAGGACAUUGGCUUUGCUGAUAUUUUGGGCUCUGUGAGCCUUUAGUAGAUUGAUGAGGUACUGAUGUGAAGAGAGAGAGCUUCAGCUUUGAAGGCAGUGGAAAGCAGUGGCUGAGGGCUCACUGUCAGUCUUCAGCAAGUCUGGAGGCCUGGGUUGAUGUUGAAUAACGUGGCUACCUCAGGUGGUGCCUCAUGUCUUCAUAGUAAGGUCUGGUUUCCCUCCUUCAGUGUAGUUUGGAUGCCAAGGUGUUCCUUUUUUUUCUACUUACAGCAGAAAGUUUAAAAUGUACAAAAUGGUCAUCUAGUCUACAUUUUUGUCCAUCAAUUGAGAUUCCAUUAAAAUUUCCACCAGACUUCUGAUUUUAUUCAGAGUUCUCCUGAUUUUAAGUUUCCAUCCAGUGAAUCCUGUUAUACUUUGGUCCACUUCAUUGAAAAGCACUUUGCAAACCUACAGUAAAGGUAUUUUAAAAUAAUGGUAGAGUGUUGAAGACAUCCUUUCAAACAGCUAUGACUGAAAACUUCAUUUUCUUGAACAUUUAAUCCAAAUGUUUCCCUUUUUUUUUUUUUUUUUUUUUUUGUUUUUGUCAUGCUGUCUUCUUUAAGCCUUCCACGGUUUAUCUCAUUGGUAUUCUGUUAGUCUCUGGUAUCUUUCAGUGUAUUUUAGCUAAGAGUAAAGAAAGGCUACAUUGCACAUAUAACAGAAACCACUUUGGUUACACUGAACUCUGAAUUUCAAACUUUACUUGCCAAGUUCUUUUCCAAAAUGCUGCUCUGUCCUGCAGAUACACCAUGUAUUUCAAGACUUCACUUAGGUGUAUUAAAUUCCACUUCUGCCUGUGACCAGAUGAGUAAGUGACCUAGAAUGCUUUGACUGAUUAUUAAAUCUAAUUAAUUGCCUUUCCCUUUAUCAUCCACAAGCUCCAAAAGAGAUAAACAAUUAAUGGUUCACUAUUAAAAAUAUCACAUAACCAGACUGUCAGAGAACCUCUAUUGGGAUGAUUUCCCAUCUGUAAUCACAUCUCGUGACUUAGGGUCUAGUCAUUAAUACUUUCUGUGUGUGCUGUGCUGGUUUUAGAUCUUAAAGCGAGAGACAGUUUUUUACUUUUAAUUUAUUGUAACAUUGAACUUUGUGUGUUUGUUUGCAUCAAGAUUUCUGGUUGUGUAUUUGUCAGUAAAAGAGCAUUGUAAGAGUUAGUAUUCUUUAUGUCCGCAAAUCUUAAUAUUUAGCACUUAAAUUUGCAUGCCAAGGUAAUGCCAUAAACAGGUUUUUGUUAGCAUAGUAAAUACUUUGUGCAUUUAUGAAAAAUACACAUCUUUGAGCAUGACAAAGCAACAUUAUGUGCAACCCUGAGUGUGCAAUUGUUCACGUCACUUCUUGGUUCUUAAUGUUUCAUGAUCUUAAAAAAAAUCAAUUUCCUGACUUCCCUUCACUGCAGUAUGUUGUCACUGUCAACUCGUUUCUCAUCCCACUUGUCUUUCACAAUGUUGUGAAGAUCUCUGAUUUUCCAAGAAGAAUAGAUUAGAUAGUAGUAGUUCCUUCCACAAAAAAUAUUCUAUCACAGUUCAUUUUCCAUGAAGGGAAAACUGCCUUUAUUUCAUUGUGGUCAACAGCCAUGAUUUUUUUCCAAUAAUUUGUACAAAAAUAAUCUGAUGCUGUUAGACUUUCUUUGGAAUUCAGUGGCAUAAAUUUCACUGUGUCUGUGUUGACCACGUGGCAAUGGUGCUGUUCCAUACAUCCUUUCCACAGGUAUGGUUAGAGUAAAACCUUGCAGGGGAGACUCUACAUAUGUUGUAUUUGGAGAAUUCUGUUAAGGGUGGCCUUAUCUUGGGAACACAACAGGCUGGGGGGGUUACAGCUAAGUACAGAGGAUAAGACUGGGGGAAAGAAAUGUUUUCUGUAAAGUGUGAAAGGUCUUCUCAGUGGUUCUGAUGUUUGUCACCUCUUUGGUUGUCUGUGUAGUGGAGGUGUCUCUCGCCCUGGGAUUCAGCUUUUCAGAGAAAUAGCGUUUCUGGACAAAGAAGUGGAGUUCCAGCCAGAAGCAGUAAAACUAAAAGGUGUAUACAGGCAUCUUGGUGAGAGAUUGUUUCCAUACUUAUGGUUAAAGGGAGUAGUGCCUUUGCUACCAGGGUGGGGUUGUUCUGAGCCUCCAGUCCAUGUUCAUGGACAGCAGUAAAAUGGUUUUGUGUACGAAGAUCAGCACUCUGUCUUCUCCUCUGCUUCUGCUCUGUGUGUCCAUCAGCUCUCUCUUGUCUUUUAAAUUUCUUUUUCCCUUUUUUACAACCUCAGUAUAUUCCUUAAAACUUGAACAACUAUGUGUUUCAUAAGAGGUCUGUACAAAUUCCUAGUUCCUAUUGAAACCAGUCAGGUUCCAGUCACAGAAUUGAUCAGGCUGGAAAGAACCUCUGAGAUCAUUGAGUCACCUGACAUUUGAGGGGCCUGAUCAAGCAGGUGUGCUCAAAGGAAGGUAAUAUGAAAUGAGAUAGUGACAUCACAUGAAUUGUUCGUUAGUUAAUAUGAAUUGUUACUAACAUGUAAAUAUCAAGUCCAAUACACAGCAGCUUUGCCCUCAAUGAUUGAAAAAAAACUGACCAGCUUUGCUUGUGUUAUUAGGAAAUAAACUGGUGGUCAGAGCAUUUCGCACUAAACCAAGAUGUUAAAUCCAAGUCCUUCUCAAGAAUGCAACUAUCAUCUAGAAAGCUCCUGACAACUGGCCUAUGGGCUCUCUUACCAGUGCUUGUUGCUUGCCCCUUUAGUAGAAAUUGGGCCAUUGAUUCUUGCACUUUUUUUUUUCCCACGGAGUUAAAAAGCAAGUAAGCAAAAGAGAGAAUGAUACUCUCCAGCCUUGUGCCUGAGGAGUCAGGUUUAGAGCCCUGUUUCUGGGCACUUCCCAUCUUAGCUUGUAGACUUCACAUCUGUAGAGUUCCCAUUUAGCAUGUGGAUUGGUCUCCUAAGAACACAUACUUUCCAUGCAAGUUUUAACUUAAAAUUGACCCACAUCUUCCCUUUAAUGUAAAUCUGGAGCAGUAAAGUUAAAAUUAUGUCACCUUGAAUUCCCAGUGAUAAAUGUUAUUAGAAACCUUCUGCUUUCAAGCUACAUCUCCAAAUGGCUUAGACUAACUUUCAGCUUUUUCAUUCUCUCAUGAAAUAUGCAAAUACUUGUCAGAAUUCAGAUAGAAAAUUUGAAACAGCCAGUGAAGGUUUCACUUCAGUUUGGAGUGGAAAAAGUAGGCAAAGCAAUGGGAUAAUGCAGUUGUUAAUAAUUUUGUAGCCUGUCUCCCUUUGCCCUAACUCACAUUAAAGGGGACAUUAGUCCUUGUUCUUGUUUGCACAUUAACAGGUGUUGUCCAUGAGCAUCUAAACUUCAGAUAAACUGGGGUUUAUUUCCAGUAGCUGUAUGGAGCCCACAGAUGCACAUCUGAUGAUUGUUUUGAAGUGCUUUUUGACUACUUGAAGAAACCAAAGCUGCUGAUGUAAAACUGAACCUUGUUAACCUGUGUGGCUUCUUUAGAGAAAUCACAUGGACCUUGUGAAAGCGAGCACAAUUCUUAGCUUGCCUAUCACUUCAUUAGCUAUAAAGUCCACAUGUGGCUAUCUGUGGUGUAUUCCCUGUGCUGCCCCUUGGAGCCAUCCAAAGUUCAGUGUACAGCGUUACUGGUGUUGGAGCAAUACUCUGGGAUGUUCCACAAAGCUGCUUCCAAACUGAAAUGGUCAGGGAGACUCUUGGGUAACCAGGGAUUUACUCUGAAGUUAGAUCCAGCAUAGCUUUUGCUGCGAGAGCUAUUGGCCAAACUGGCUGCAAAAGGAAAUGUGUGCUGUUCCAAGAUCCAGUUUACCCUGUUUUGGAGGAAGUGACAAGAAGCAGUGCUUCCAAAUAAAAACUUAGUGGUUCAAAAUUUUUAAUAUGUUGCUUUAGGUUGAAUAGAUUUUUCCUUGUCUGCAAAGAGAAAUUAAAUCUUCAUUAGAGAACCAAAACAGUUCUAGGAGAUGCAGAAAUUGUGAAUGCAUUUUUAUGAUCUGAACAGACCUUGACUUUACCAAUUCUCAAGGUACCCAGUUUAUUGUGAAUGAAGACAAAUGUCAGGCUGAACAGGAUGUCAGAUUCAUCAAGGCUGCUAAAUUCUUAGCUGGAUUGUGAAAGGAAGUGAAGCUCUUGCAGGUGUUGGGUAGCAACAUUUUGCAUGUGUUGUAGCUUAGAGAAGGGUGUACUUUAUACAAGGUGGAGCUGUAAGGUAGAUGAGGACUUUAUACAGGGGAAAUGCAGUGUAUGGACAUGAAGGUGUAGAUGUGGAGAUAGGCAGGCAAAUACGUGGGCUUGAUAACUGGUCUCAGGGCUAAAAUAAACAAAGGCUCUGGAACAGAGGUCUUUAAAUGUGAGAGCCAUGGUGGGAAUAAAAGCAUUCUUCAAGGAACAGCUUUCCUUUAUGGAAGACUUGUACCUCCAUAUAAUGAAGUAGUAUGUAGCAGGUGUGUUUUAAUUGGUUUUGACAUUUCCCUUACUCUUGUUGUACUAUCCCAAAUAGGAGUGGGAGGAGAAUUUUUUGAAGUCAUAUUUGGCUGUGAAAUGGCUAAUUUGGGGAUACAGCCAAAAAAAAGCCCAAAAGAACCCACUGAAAUUUUGUGAUAUGGUCUCAGAAACUUGCUUUGGUUUACAUACCUGUGCUACAAGCUGCUGUUCCUGCCCUCUCUUCAGCAUGUCUGUCAUGUCCUGCUGCAAUCAAUUAUUUACAGCAGGAGCCAGGCUAAAUAGGUGGGCAGACAAAAGGAAAGGAAAGGACUGUGGGUAGGGCUUGCAGAGUAAAUUGCAUCAGGCCAUGAAAGAACUCUGUGGGAGUGCGUCUAGGAUUGCACUGAUGUCUCCACCUCAAUCAUGUUCCUGAAAGGUAUUUUCUCCCUGGGAUUUUAUGUGCUGGCAUCUUCCUGGACACUUCUCCAAGUGCAGUGAAAUCUGAUAUGCAAAAAUGGCUUCUUCAGACAGUUGCACCAGUUUUUUAUAUAAAAGUGAGUAAUAAUCUAGGGCUUAGAGCAGAACCCCAGACCUGUAUGUUUUGUAUUAAUAUAAAAUACUGUAGUUAAACUCUCUGUAGAAGCACCUAAAUGGAAGCUUUAAGUCUUGAAGUAGAUCUUGCUCAUACUGAGAUUGCUGAACUUCUGCUUUAGGAACCAAGGUGAAGCCAAGCUUGCACCAUUUACUAAUAAUCACAAUUCAAUAUUUACCUUUUAGUACAGGAUUAAAGAAAAGAACACAUUUCUAAGUUACAUUUGCAGAGCUGGAAUUUAAAACGCUGCCUGUUGAGUCCAAAGGUUGGUUUUUACAAGUUAGCAUUCCACUGAGUGCUUGGACAUGGCUUGAUGAGUUCUCUCUUGACUUCUGAAUACUUCUGUGAUAAACGUUCUGGAAUGUUAAAAUUCAAAUUCAGUUUUAAGAAAGAAAAAAGAUAUUGGUGUAAUAGCAUGCACCAAUAGUUACAAUAGUAGGUACAAGAUACUUGCAGAAAUUUUUCAUCCAUUAAUCUUAAUGCAAACUGAGGAAUUCUAAAAGUUUUCAUGCUUUCAAUUAAGUGUGUUAUUGAGAUUUAAGAAUGUUUAGUGCUUGAUACAGAUAAAUAUAAUAUCAUUCUCUUUUUAAUAUAAAUAAUUGGAAUCAAGCUGGUGGAUGAAGAGGUGGCAUCUCAGCGGGUGCUGUGAAAUUCCAUAAACCACUAAAUGCAGGGUAGAAGGGAAGGGCAGCAGGGUGCUGCUCUCUGAUUAGGCAGAGUUUGGAAAACACGUUGUGCAAAUAGUAGGAUUUAUGGACAUACUUGGUUGAAACACUUCAGAGAAAGGAAAAAAUGGGGACAGAAUACUGUUGGUGGGGUCACUAUGUAACAGUUUCUAAUUGCUUUGAAGGACUUACUAAUUGUGUUGUUUGUAAGAGCAGUUUAUAGCUCCCAUGUUCUUCAUUCAAAACAUCAAAAAUGAAAUUACUUGAGUGAUUGCUGUUUCGCUCGAAGCAGGACUUUUUGUUUGGAGAAACUCUGUGUUGUGUUUCAGAUGAUGGUCAUUGCUGCCUCUUAGCUUGUCCUGUGGAAGUGACUGAACAUGCACAGUGCAUUGGUAUAGGAUUGAUUUCAGUCUCUAAAUCCUGCUUGUCAAAUAAAUACCUAAUUCAGGAAGAGGUAGCUUUCUUGGCUUUGUUUCCCUGAAGUACUGUACCUGUAGUCCCUGAUCCCUGAGGUAGUUCUCAUGGAUGCUGUUCUUGGAGCGAAAUACCUGAAAGGAUGAGCACAGAGAUGCUGUUCAUCAUUACAGUCAGACUGGUACAGUGCAAAUUUCCAGCUGGUAGUUCAUUCUCUAAUAUCUACUUCUUGUGAAAUUGUCCUUUGAAUCAGUUAGUUUAUUUCCAGAGAGAGGAGGGAAUUAUCUUUGGCACACAGGACAACAUUCUGUUCUCAGGUUUGACUGUAAGCAGCUUACAAUGCCAGGCACUCUGGGGUGGAGAGACAACACCAGUUCUGGUGAGGACAUAGUUUCUUCUGCUCCAUGUGGUACUCAGGUUCCUCACUUCAGGAAUUGUCCCUGCUACAUUCAGCCUGUGCCCCAGCCCGGGAGACAAUGCCCAGCAGGAGCAGAUAGGUGUGGUAGCCUGGGAGAAGCCAGCCCUUUGGAAUGAUUCCCCAUGGUUCAUCCUGCUGCAGACUCUGAGGUGCUCCAGCAGGCACUAGAGGGGGUGAAGGACAGUGUGCUGCCACUUGCUGGUGUUCAUUCUUGCCCAUGGGUGCUGCCUUUUCUUCAGGCUGAUGGCCGCUGUUGAGAGCCUCUGGUCCCUUUGGAAUUUGCAUCAACUGGCUUGCAUCAACUGACAGGGAUUUUUCCAGAUAUCCCUUCAAAGCUAUUUUCCUGGUUCUGCUUCUCUCAGCAGACUUUAUCUCCUAGUGAUAUUAAAGAUUGAAUUGCAGUGCUGUUGAAUGUCAAACAGCCAUGGCAUUGAAACUGCUGCUCUUUCCAUCAACUGCAGAAAUUUAAUGUGUGGCUUUGGCAGACUACAUAAAGAACUGAGAUUUGGUCACCAUAAACAAAGACAUGAAG